CUCUGGAGUCUAUACUAGAUUCUGUAACGUCGCGAAGGUAUGGAGUGAAAUUUGUCUUCACCGGGAAUUUCUAGAAGUGGGUCCCCCAUGACAGUAGGCAACUGAAGUCAGCAGUCAGCAACCCUAACGUCCAACGGUUUUUCCUCUCAAAAUUUGUGGAAGUGGGAUUCCUCAGAGCGGAGACAGAUAUUCCUGGUGGUUGGACUUGGAACAGAGAGAGCUUUUCUUUGGUUGGACUGUAAGAGUGGAAGAUGGAUCAUCCCUACCCUUUUGAGGGAAACCUAACUAUGUACAAAGGGAGCAAACGAUCAUUCGAGUCAAGCCAACCAUUCGGGUUGUCCGGAGCUAGAACAUGGGUAACAUAACUUUGCAAGUCAGGAGAGAAGAAGUUGUGGUGAGCCAAGCAAGCAAAACGUAAGGCCCAGUCGACCGAAAGGAAAUGAUACGGUACACUCCCGCUGGGUCUGGAAAGCAAUUGAAGCAAAGUGCUGUGACUGUUACCGUCCAUACAAAGAGUUUGUCACGCUAAAGCUGUUUUUGUUCUGAAGUUGCUGAUAUACUAUUGGAUUUUUUAUCCUUCUAGUUCUAAUUGCCAUUAACAUUUAAGUUCUAAUUUGGAAAUUCCUUACCUUUGGUUCUAGUAGAUCAUAUGCUACAAGUUUUUUUGAGAUUAAGCAAUUUAGCUAUUAGAUUGCCUCGAUAUUUUGACCAUAUAUUCAGGAACCCUUGUGGUGAACUCGAUUUCAGUUUGGCCUAAUUCUGUCUGAUCUUGAGAUAUUUCUGUUUUUCUCA